UACGUAGGGUGCAAGCGUUGUCCGGAAUUAUUGGGCGUAAAGAGCUCGUAGGUGGCCUGUCGCGUCGGCUGUGAAAACUCGGGGCUCAACUCCGAGCUUGCAGUCGAUACGGGCAGGCUAGAGUUCGGCAGGGGAGACUGGAAUUCCUGGUGUAGCGGUGAAAUGCGUAGAUAUCUGGAGGAAUACCGGUGGCGAAGGCGGCAUCCUGGACCGACAUUGACGCUGAGGAGCGAAAGCUAGGGGAGCAAACGGG
rnacentral:rRNA from 1 species